rnacentral:rRNA from 1 species
GACGAACGCUGGCGGCGUGCUUAACACAUGCAAGUCGAACGGUGAAGGGACCAGCUUGCUGGUUCUGGAUGAGUGGCGAACGGGUGAGUAACACGUGAGUAACCUGCCCCCUUCUUCUGGAUAACCGCAUGAAAGUGUGGCUAAUACGGGAUAUUCUGGGUCUGUCGCAUGAUGGGCCCGGGAAAGAUGCGCCUUUGGGUGUUUUUGGUGGGGGAUGGGCUCGCGGCCUAUCAGCUUGUUGGUGGGGUGAUGGCCUACCAAGGCGGUGACGGGUAGCCGGCCUGAGAGGGUGGACGGUCACACUGGGACUGAGACACGGCCCAGACUCCUACGGGAGGCAGCAGUGGGGAAUAUUGCACAAUGGGCGCAAGCCUGAUGCAGCGACGCCGCGUGAGGGAUGGAGGCCUUCGGGUUGUAAACCUCUUUCGCCAGUGAAGCAGGCCUGCUCCUUGUGGGGGGU